rnacentral:rRNA from 1 species
CCUACGGGUGGCAGCAGUGGGGAAUAUUGGGCAAUGGGCGCAAGCCUGACCCAGCAACGCCGCGUGAAGGAAGAAGGCUUUCGGGUUGUAAACUUCUUUUAUCAGGGACGAAGCAAGUGACGGUACCUGAUGAAUAAGCCACGGCUAACUACGAGCCAGCAGCCGCGGGAAUACGUGGGUGGCAAGCGUUAUCCGGAUUUACUGGGUGUAAAGGGCGUGUAGGCGGGAGGGCCAGUCAGAUGGUAAAACUAUGGGCUUAACCCAUAGCGUGCAUUUGAAACUGGUCUUCUUGAGUGCUGGAGAGGCAAGCGGAAUGCCGGGUGUAGCGGUGAAAUGCGUAGAUAUACGGAGGAACACCGGUGGCGAAGGCAGAUUGCUGGACAGUAACUGACGCUGAGGCGCGAAAGCGUGGGGAGCGAACAGGAUUAGAUACCCUUGUAGUC